rnacentral:rRNA from 1 species
UUAACUGGGGUAGUUAUUUCAAUUGAAUUGAAAUUAUUUUUACAGUUUUAAAUAAGUGGAUUUAGUUCUUUUAUAUAAGGAAAAUUAGGUUUAGUUACUUUAGGGAUAACAGCGUUAUAUUUUUGGAGAGAUCUUAUCUAUAAAAAUGAUUGCGACCUCGAUGUUGAAUUAAAAUUACUUUAUAGAGCAGAAUAUAUAAAAGUAGGUUUGUUCAACCUUUAAAUUUUUACAUGAUCAGAGUUCAGACCGGA